rnacentral:rRNA from 1 species
AUUGAACGCUGGCGGCAGGCCUAACACAUGCAAGUCGAGCGAGCGGCGGACGGGUGAGUACUGUCUGGGAAACUGCCUGAUAGCGGGGGAUAACUACGGGAAACGGUAGCUAAUACCGCAUACCAUCAGAUGUGCCCAGAUGGGAUUAGCUAGUAGGUGGGGUAACGGCUCACCUAGGCGACGAUCCCUAGCUGGGCUGAGAGGAUGACCAGCCACACUGGAACUGAGACACGGCCCAGACUCCUACGGGAGGCAGCAGUGGGGAAUAUUGCACAAUGGGCGAAUGUCUGAUGCAGCCAUGCCGCGUGAGUGAAGAAGGCCUUCGGGUUGUAAAGCACUUUCAGCGGGGAGGCGUUACCCGCAGAAGAAGCACCGGCUAACUACGUGCCAGCAGCCGCGGUAAUAC